GCCCGGGUGAUGGAAUCGGCAUACAUGCGACACUUAAAAUGUCGUGGGAUUUAUCCCAUGUGGGUUCAACUCCCACUCCGGGCACCA
rnacentral:tRNA from 1 species